ACGAAACAUGCCAAGAAGCUCAAAGCAUUGGAAUCCAUGAAAAACAAGCAGAAAUCUGUCACUGCCAAGGACAGCGCAAAGACUACCUUCACCUCCAUCACGACCAAUCCCAUCACCACCAGCUCUGACAAAACAGGCCCUGCCAAGGAAAUGCUAAGUAAUAUGACUACUGUGAACAGACCACGGCUUCUAUAAAAGUGAGCAUGUAAUUACCAAAUAAGCAAACAACCUCAGUCUUUACAUUAAAAGUUUUAUUUGUAUCUCUC
rnacentral:lncRNA from 1 species